rnacentral:misc_RNA from 1 species
AACCAUUCUCACCUGCGGCUAGACCUGCGGAGGGAUCAUUACCGAGUGUGAACCCCCCCGUAAAAAAGAGGGGUUACCUCCCGUCCUUUGCUGGGAACCCCUUUCCAACUUGGAAGGAGGUUGUUUUCAGACCCUUCUGCUUCGGUGGGGUAACCCACCGGAACAACCUCAAAAAUAUUCUCAAUUCGAAACCGUUCAGUCCGAGAACUUUUUUGAAAAGCGAAAAAACUUUUAACAAUG